rnacentral:rRNA from 1 species
UGCGUAGGCGGGCUUUUAAGUCAGCGGUGAAAUCUCCGGGCUCAACCCGGAAAUUGCCGUUGAUACUAUUAGUCUUGAAUUAAGUUGAGGUGGGCGGAAUAUGUCAUGUAGCGGUGAAAUGCUUAGAUAUGACAUAGAACACCGAUUGCGAAGGCAGCUCGCUAAACUUAUAUUGACGCUGAGGCACGAAAGCGUGGGGAUCAAACAGGAUUAGAAACCCUGGUAGUCCACGCCCUAAACGAUGAUUACUCGAUCUUAGCGAUACACAGUUAGGGUCUAUGCAAAAGCAUUAAGUAAUCCACCUGGGGAGUACGACCGCAAGGUUGAA